rnacentral:lncRNA from 1 species
GUUUCACUUCGUUUCGCAAAGAAGAUAUCGAUCGUUCAUCCCCACAAACCCGAAUUUCAUCAACAAUCAUCAGGCAUGAGCAUAAUUUGGUGUAAAUCUUUGAUUCUUGCUUCCAAUUUAUGAUUCUCGAGGUAACAUAGUUGGAUUCACACCCAUCUCGCAAAUCCGGAUCGUAUCAUUUUUCUCAAACGUACAAGCUAACUUCUCUCAAACCCUAAAUCCGAAGACGCCAUUCAUCUUCAGCCGUUCAUCAUUGAUUCAAGUUUGAUAAACAAAGAUUUCAAGAUCAAUUCUACAAGGAAUAACACAUGUAAAGACAUUGCAACAUCCGUUACUAAGAAACCCUAAAGGGAGAGAAGCUAUAUUUGUAUAUCAAGAAUAUGUGUUGAUACGGAUUAGGCAGGGAGGAUUAGGAGGUGGUGUUGCCUCAGGGGUUUUGUUGAAAGGGGAUGACAAAAGAAGACGGUAAUGAUUUUGUUUUCUGUUCAUGUGAGGGUGGGGAAUUCUCAGAUCCGCCAUUUAUGGUGGUCUUUUCCCAGCUGGUGGUAUUGUUCAAAUUGUUGUGGUGGCUGGAGGUGGGGCUUGGUUGAAUAAGAGAUAGAUAAAGCACCGAUUACAGAGACCUUGAGCACAAGGGGUUGCACUCCUUGGUGGAUUCCGUUUGUCUUCUACACGCGGAUUCUUUUGAGUCUGGCCCGGUUUAAUUCGAUAAUCUUCGUUGUGACAGUGGGCUGUUCAGAUGGAGCAGCGGCGGUCGCCAAAAAGUGACACCCGACGAUUGAAUACGGAGCAACGUUUCAGGUAUUUAGGGGCUGUGUGGAUGGUUAAAAAGUCCUGAAAGGACAGCGGUAAUGGCUCUCAAAACUAGACAACAAAGUCACACUUUUAGGCGUGAUUUCGAGACAGCAUUGUGAGGUACAAUGCAGCAGUGAGUUGGGAUCUUUUGCAGUCGUUCGAGAGGUGCUUCACGGUCCGAAACUCUCUACAAACAACCACGACAAGUGUUGGGGCGAAUAUGUUUCUGAACUUGAAGAGAGGAAUAAUGAGGUAACUCAGUUACGGGUAAAGGUUGAAAGCUUUACUAUGCAAGAGAAUACAUUGGAUGAAAGAAUGAGGUUAAUUGAUUAAUUCUUACAUUUUCCUUCUACAGAUUCCAUACUACAGAUCAACUCACCUGAAGUUGUUCUUGGAUAUCUGUAUUCUUGAAAUCGAAAUUUGUUUUUAUAUUUUUAUUAUCAUGAGUUUUUGUGUUUUGCUAACCAGAUCCCUGCCCUAAAACGGCCAUGGUUAACACCAACUUUAUAAAAUAAAAUUUUUUUAAAUAAUAUAUUUUUUGUUAAUUAUUAACCACCAACCAUAUUCUAAGGUUGCUCUUUCUGUUAUCCAAACUCUUUUUGAAGUCAAGGCAGAAAAGGUCUGUUUAGUGGCGUCAUGGUUUAGACAUGGGUUGGAUGGAAUUACGUGGGGUAUGGUGCUGGAAAAGACAGGUAUUAACUCACGAUGAAGCUGUUGAACUGCAGAAAAUGAUGGUUGUUCUGCUGAAUGUAUGCAUGUCUUUAACUAAGGAUCGCUGUUAAUGGGGUCUUCACUCAUCAACCGAUUGAAUAUAAAAAAAAUUAAGUAGAGACGAUGAAUUCAUCAAGUGAAGUCUCUGAAUUUUGCUUGAUCUAUAUUAUCUCAUAUUUACAUUUGUUGUUGUAGUUUGAGUGAGAAUGUUGUGUGUAGAGAUUCUAAGUGAUAUUACAGAAUUAAACUCUCUUACUUUCUAUAGAAUGAUGCCAAUAUGUUAUU